rnacentral:rRNA from 1 species
UACGAGAGGCCCAAACGUUAUUCGGAAUUACUGGGCUUAAAGAGUUCGUAGGCGGCCUGAUAAGUAGGGGGUGAAAUCCUGUGGCUUAACUGCAGGGCUGCCUCCUAGACUGUUAGGCUCGAGCACGGUAGAGGCAGAUGGAAUCCCGGUGUAGCGGUGGAAUGCGUAGAGAUCGGGAAGAACGACGGUGGCGAAGGCGGUCUGCUGGGCCG